rnacentral:lncRNA from 1 species
CACCAACAAUCCUCUCCACAAUCUCUUCAAUCUCACGAUCCCCUGCCGAAGGAUCAUUCAGUUGCACAUAACUAGAUUUUUGAGCUAAGGAAAACAAAUUAUCCUCUAAGGUAACAAAUUCCAAAUACUGAUCAUGCACCUUAGCAAUCCGUUGAAUUGAAUCCGAUUUCAACGCUUCAGAUGCUAGGUCUUCAAGCAGUGGGCGAGGAACAGAGGAUGAGAAAUUGAGGAAGAAGGUAUCAUACAUAGAACGAGAAGCAUCAGCUACGAUCCGGU